rnacentral:pre_miRNA from 1 species
AGCCUUCUGUAUCCGUGCUGAGAUUUCGUCACAAUUCAGAUCACAAAGACUGACGAGACUUCUAAGAUAAGUGAAGUG